GCAUGGCUCUAGUGUGAUGCACGGUUUCAAUUAGUAUGACCUGAUAAGCUGAAAGCUGUGGUGUAUGCUCAGUCAAGCUAAGCCAAGCUUCUAGAGGGAUUCUGUUGUUGUUUCACUUUAAGAAGCUGCUGCCUGCCUCUGGGAGCCAUCUGUUAAUAAAGAACCUGUUAGCUUGUCCAGUUUGUGUAUGAUCCAUGGACUUAACAGUGGUGACGAAGGUGGGAUUCUCCUGGGAUGGCAGUACUGCUGUUUUCUGCACUAGAAAAACCCACAAGUUAGUAGCUGUUGUUGGUUAUUUAGGCCCAGAGGCCUUGCAGAGGACUAGGCCUGACAAGACCUUUUUGCAGACAGUUAAGGGAAGGGCCCCUUGCAGGCCUUGAAGGUAGACGUGUGAGGUGACCUGUUAACAGCCUCAGGAAAUAAAUAGAUGUGGGUUCCCAAAGAGAAAAUAUGGACCAUUUUGAUGAUUCUGUGGAGGACUGGGCCACAUAUGUUGAGCACCUGGAGCAAUAUUUUGUACUCCGUGAUAUUCCAGAGGAAAAGAAGGUGCCAGCAUUAUUAAACUACAUGGGAGGUCAAACAUACCACGUCCUUCGCAGUUUGAAAUAUCCAGAUAAGCCAUGCUCUAAGUCCUUUGCUGAACUGGUGAAGUUGCUACAAGACCAUUUUUCACCUAAGCCCUUGGAGAUUGCCGCAAAUUUUCGCUUUCACAAACGGAAUCAACAGGAAGUUAACCCCCCACUCCCCAUAAGACUCAUUAUCCCCAGUUUCUUUAUCUGUGUUUAGCUGUGGGAAUGGAACUCCAGUGGAGAAUGGAAUGGAAUGGAACUCCAGUGGAUAACAAGAGGCUGGAAGGUGAUGAAGGAAGAUCUGUACAAGCUGCAUGAAUAGUGGCUGCUAGGACAAUUAUAAUGUGUAGAUUCUAAAAAUGCAAUUGGACAGAGGAUCGAGCAAUAGAGGGGAGGUGAAUGCGCGAGUGUGUGAAUUGCUGACAACACUUUUGACUGAAGUGGAAUGCAGACAAUGGAGGACAGCAAAGCCCUUUCAUGAUUACAGAUGCCUGGAAGUGGUUUUGCAUUCGUCUCGCAUGCAAGCGUAAUAAAAAAAAUCAGCACUGCAAAUAUUUGAUUCCUCAUAAUGACCUGAAAACUUCAGGCUGGAAAUUCCAGGAAGAAAACUUCAUUGGUGGCCACCAAAGGACAUGGGUUUUUUGGAGCAUGACUGAAAAUGGUUUGAGAGUUUCUUCCUCCUGCUUACCUGGAAAAAAUGGUUUCCCACAAGAAUAGUUCCUUUCCCCGCUUUUUUGUUUAAGCUCUAAAGCACUAUGUACAUUUGUUUAUUUAAAAGAGCUGUAGGCUGUCUUUCUGCCAAAUGACAUUCAAGGCGGCUUAACAACAUUCUAUAAAACAAACACCAUAAAAACAAAUAGAAUAAAAACAUGCCAUAAUACAAAACCAGUGGAUGUUUAUAAAUUAACUUAUCUUCCAAACCAGUUGGCAGAUGAGCAAAAGCAAACAACAGAAUGAAUUAAAUUGCACCACCAGAUUCAGCUUACAAAAGCCAACUUUUGGAACAGUUGGGACAACUGUUGGAAAGCCAACAGGACCAAAGUGGCAUAUAAAGGCAUCAAGUGGUUCUCACUUUGGCCUUCCAUAAGUGGGGUACAGCCACAGAAAAGCCCCUCUUUUUGGUCAUCACAGGGGAGGUGAGCAGGUCUUGCAGCUGUGAGCAGGGAUUGUCCCCAUUGCUAAAGAGGAGGGUUGUUCUCACGACCACAGAUUCCUGAGUAGGAGGGGGUUAACCCAGGAAUCUUUGGUUGUCUGGGGCAGCAGGAGUCCUCCUGACCCAGCAGUUCUGAACCUGGGAGACCAGAUCAUCUACACAGGUUUAAAGUGUGGAAGGACAAGAAAAUACUUGUCCUACUUUUGGUUUUGGUCAUUUGUGCAGCCGGUAUGAUUUAAAUUGUUCCAGGGCGGCUGAUGGCUAUGCUCAUCAUAGAGUUUUGUGGAAAGCAGGACCAGGGAGAGGAGAGCGGUUGGUGUACUGAGGGCUGCCUCUCCACUGCUCCUGCAAGGAAUUGUGGGAUAUGUGGAAGCCCCAGCUCCCUAUUUCAACAAUGGAGAAUGCCACUGUGAUGUUUGUGUGGGUGCAUGAGCUGCAGAGCCCAAUGGAGGCUCUGUUCAUCUGUGGGGCACAAAGUAGGAGCAUGCCUUCCCACCAGCCCACCUCUAUAUGGUCGUGUGAAAGAGCCCAGGGUCUGCCCUGGUUUGCAUUUAGACGGGUGGCUAGCUACAUGUGAGUGCUGUCUGUUGUGAGAGAUUCUCCUCAGAGGGAAUGGGGCUGUAGCUCAGUGGAAGAGCAUCUGCUUUGAAUGCAGAAGAUCCCAGGUUCAACCCCCAGCAUCUCCAGGAUGGGAAAAACUCCUGCCUAAAACCUUGGAAAGCUGCUGCUAGUCAGUGUAGACAAUGCUGAGCCAGAUGGACCAAUGAUCUAACUCAGAAAAAGGCAAAUAAUGCCUAGACAUGGGGACAUGGAAGAGGCCUCCCUUGAUCAUCUCAGCUACCAGGCACAUUCAUAGGGGAGUAGGUGGUCCUUCAGGUUUGCUGGUCCCAAACUGUUUAGGGCUUCCAAAGGAAGAAGCUUUAGGAUCAUAAGAACAUAGGAACCUGCCUUAUACAGAGUCAGACCAUUGGUCCAUCUAGCUCUGUAUUUUCUACACAGACUGACAGCAGCUUCUCCAAAGUUGCAGGCAGGAUCUCUCUCAGUCCUGUCUUGGAGAUGCCAGAGAGGGAACUUGGAACCUUCUGCAUGUAAGCAUGCAGAUGCUGUUCCCAGAACGGUCCAGUCCCCUAAGAAGAAUAUAUUAGUGUUCACACAUGUUGUCUCCCAUUCAAAUCCAAAUUAGGGUGGACCCUGCUUAGCAAAGGGGACAAUACAUACUUGCUACCAGAAGACCAGCUCCCCUCCAGCUUUAAACUUUUAGAAGACAGUGUAGAUCCAAUUAGAGCUUCAGAGGGUAUUAUCUGUAGGGAGCACUUUUUGGUGCUCUUCUACGACCUUUUUCAGUGGAAGAGUAAAUAUGUGAUUACAUUUCUUCCACUGAAAUAAAUGAGACUUUAUUAAUUGUUCAACUUUAAUUGGACCCAUUUUGUUAAGUGCUGACUUUUACUCUGACUUCUAAGACAGCCAAAAAAAUUAUCAGUGACAAGGAGAUGGUUGUAUUCUUUGCUAGCUGAGAAUACAACAGAACUCAGAUAGCAACCCCUGCUAGCUGAGCAAAAGGGCACCUUUUUAAAGUGGUGAUUUUCUUUAUUUAGCAGUGGGAGAGCAACUGGCCCUAUCCAUCCCCAGCACACAGCAUCCCUCCAGUAGCUGUUGCUGGUGUGUAUCUUAUGUUUCUUUUUCAGAUUGUGAACCCUUCGGGGACAGGGGGAACCAUUUUAUUCAUUUAUUUAUAUCUAUGGAAACCGCUUUGGGAACUUUUGUUGAAAAGCAGUAUAUAAAUAUUUGUCAUAUUCAUAUUCGUGUAAAGCAGACAUUUUACUCAAGGUUUCACACACAGUCCCCACAUGAUUAUCUUGGUCCAGUGUAUAUGCAAAACCACUCCCCCCCCCCUGGAAAAUUUGACUGUCACAGCUAAAUGUUAGAAAUGACAACCUCCCUUUUAACCUGAAAUUACCAGGAAUUAUCUGUAUGAAAGGGAAGUGUUGGCAGUUCUAAGGAGCUCCUAAAGCAAUCAUCGCUAAUAUGCAGCUGACUGGAGUGAAGACAUACAUUUUAAAGACAAAGAUCAUCCUCUUUAGAGCUUGCAAGGCUCUUCUUAGUAUGCAGAUAGUGUUACUAAAACUUCAAGCUGUGUAUUAUGGAUCAGCCCUUUAAGCUUUUUAAUUUC